GACGAACGCUGGCGGCGUGCCUAAUACAUGCAAGUAGAACGCAGUUGCGACCGGGUGAGUAACGCGUAGGUAACUGCCUGGUAGCGGGGGAUCACUAUUGGAAACGCUAGUUAAUACCGCAUACUACCAGCUGGUCCUGCGUUGUAUUAGCUCGUUGGUGGGGUAACGGCUUCCCAAGGCGACGAUACAUAGCCGACCUGAGAGGGUGAUCGGCCACACUGGGACUGAGACACGGCCCAGACUCCUACGGGAGGCAGCAGUAGGGAAUCUUCGGGAAUGGACGGAAGUCUGACCGAGCAACGCCGCGUGAGUGAAGAAGGUUUUCGGAUCGUAAAGCUCUGUUGUAAGAGAAGCGGUAUCUUACCAGAAAGGGACGGCUAACUACGUGCCAGCAGCCGCGGUAAUUC
rnacentral:rRNA from 1 species